rnacentral:rRNA from 1 species
UACGGAGGAUGCAAGCGUUAUCCGGAUUUAUUGGGUUUAAAGGGUGCGUAGGCGGGACCAUAAGUCAGCGGUGAAAGUUUUCGGCUCAACCGGAAAAUUGCCGUUGAAACUGUGGUUCUUGAGUGCAGAAGAGGUAGGCGGAAUUCGUCGUGUAGCGGUGAAAUGCGUAGAUAUAACGAAGAACACCAAUUGCGUAGGCAGCUUACCAUACUGCAACUGACGCUGAGGCACGAAAGUGUGGGUAUCAAACAGGAUUAGAUACCCCUGUAGUCCCU